rnacentral:misc_RNA from 1 species
AAAUGAGGCAUUUUCAUUGAAAUUAAUUGAUUUCAACCAAAAUUCAUGGGUUUGGAAUAACAAAUUAUAAAAACAAGCUGUUGACAUUCUUUUUUUUAAUCAUAUAUGAUUAAGGCGAAUGCAAUUAAUCACAGGAAGAGCAAUUGGCAAUGCCAGCAAGUUGCCAUAACCCCGCAUAUUCCGUGGCCCCCACUACUUUGAGAUGAUUUGUUCUCUACGUGUCAAAAAAGCAAUGAGCUGGAUAUCUAUCCGUCUACCUCGAACAGUGAGAGGAAAAUGAAAAAAAGUGCACGAGUCUUAACAACCCGUAAUCGCCACGUAAGCGAACUGGCCAAACCCGUUCGUUUAGGACGCGUCAACCUCACUUUUCCCUCGUUGAGGUCCGUUAUGUCAUCAAACAGAUCUUUGGUACAACGCGCACUCCCCUUGGCUGCAUCAGGCUGAGACCCGUCAUCUACGUGGCCCACCUCGUAGUUUUUUUCCCCCAGACGCAUUGCUGAGAGAAAACGGCAGAGAGCCCAUUACAGCGGAACCUAAUCUUAAUCAGUCCAACGUCCAGCCAUAGAAAAAACCAGGCCUAUGCCGAGAUACAUCAGGCCCAAGCUCAGCUACAAGAAACCCUAGCUAGGAUCAGGAGAGGCAAUCAAUCCAGACAACAACAAAUACCCCUUGCAAGUAGGAUAAUCUCUUGAGUAAGCAAUGGAUUGAUGAUGGUAAACUAUAUUUCUGUUGGUGCAAGUUGAAGUUGCAGCGUUUGGACGUAAGGCUUAUCCCCUGUUUUGCCAGCAGCACAUAAUGGGAUUAGCA